rnacentral:rRNA from 1 species
AUGAGCAUCGAGUUGUUCAAACACAUUGCGGAGAAACUGGCGAGCCAUGAUCGUUUUUUUCAGCAAAGGAGGAAUGCCGCCAGAGAACUUGGGCAUAUCACCUUUCAAAAGGUGACAACAGCUUUGCGUAUGUUGGCAUACGGUAUUCUAGCGGAUCUAGUUGAUGACCACUUGGCCAUGGGUGAGAAUCAAGCCAUCAUGUGUGUCGAACGCUUCACAGUCAGAAUUUUGCAAGUGUUUGGUCCGAAAUAUUUGAGAGCUCUCAAUGCUGAAGACACCAGGCUUUUGGAGAUGAACAAAGCUCGCGGGUUUUCAGGUAUGCUUGGCUCAAUAGAUUGGAUGCAUUGGAGUUGGAAGAACUGUCCUAACGCAUGGCAUGUACAAUUCCAACGGUGGAGCUUAGUGUGUUACUCGGGCUGUGCCCCCCUUAGGUUAUGA